CAUCAUCUUCAUCACCCUGUUGUUCCUCUUCUUUUAUCUCCUCCUGCUUCACUUCGAUCUUCACUGGUAUCUGCAGCAUCUGCUGUUCUCCAGCAUUACAGACAGAAGUCAGAGACUCUGUGGAGGUUUGAUCACCCUGAUUACCAUCAGUAGAACAGAGUAAAGUGAGCUGUGAGUCCUGUGUGUCUCUGGAUCUCUGUUCAGAGAGUUUGUCCAGCAGCCGCUGUGGUGUGGACUGAUCUCUGCCGCUCCACACUGAAUCCUGACAUUCUGUGGAGGUCCCAUCAGUCACACACACUGAAGAUUGACAGGAAACCUUUUCCAGCUCCUG